GAUCUGCUCUGUGACUGGAUGUGGAUCUGAGUUCUCCUGGUGUGGCUCUGCUAUGGAUCAGUGUGAGGACAGAGAGGAGGGAGUCCCUCCCUCUAAAACCACUCUGUGGGGGGAACAUGAGAACCAGAGCAAAGCUCAGAG